UGAGGUGUGGCUCAGUGGUAGAGCACUCACCUAGCAGGUACAAGGCCCUGGGUUUGAUCCUCAGUACCACAU
rnacentral:tRNA from 1 species